rnacentral:lncRNA from 1 species
AGACAAGCUCCUGACUCACAAAUACACCCUCACAUGCACUCUCAUAUCUCUCUCUCUCUCUCUCUCCCCCCCCUCUCUCCACACACAUAAACACACACACACACACACACUUCCCUUAAUCUAUCUUAAGCACAAUCUGUAUUCACCACAUCCCCCAAUUUCUCCUGUUUUUCUCAUGGACCCUUCAGCAGCUUUUAAGUCAGAAGCCAAACAAGCAAAUGGCCCCGGAAUUUAAAUCUCAAAAUAUCUCAGCAGAUAAAGGAGAUCUGGCAUAGGAAACUGUACGUCAUUACCUGGUCACCGGAAGCCAAUGUUGGAGCCUGCUCCUGACCCACCGGGACUGGGCAGGGAAAUGAGUCAGAUGAUCAUGGAUUAGCAGCGACCCCACUAAUGCCUAGCAAGGGUUCUAGGAGGGAGCCCCAGGCUCCCACUCGCUAACCAUCACCCGGGAAGGUGCCAUUUCCCUCCCUCAAUGCACUGCUCUCUUCUUGGUCACCCUGUUGACCUACCGUGCCUGCCAGCCACUCUGCCUGCCAGUGUACCCCAACUCUAAGUCAUUUCUAAGCACCAGCAUGGAUGAAGGUAGAAGACAGGCGGGCUGGUGGGUCGCAGAAGGGUAAGCUUCAGUGUGGAGCUCUCCACAAGCACCUAUCCUCGUGAUCAAGGGGGAUGGAGCGGACCGUGAGAACUUUGCACCGGAACCCCAAACACAUCACUUUUAGAGGAGAGUGGCUGCGUUUAGGAUUACCGAAAGGAAAAUGGAUGGACAUGGGGUAACCCCGGGUGCUUUCCAGGAGGCGGGUGUACCGGUUAGAUUUUAUUGCCAACAGCACCACCUCACUCGGGAGGAGGGAACUUAAGGAACUUCCAAGAUCAAAUUGGCCUAUGGCCAAUUUCUGAGAGAGACAGUUUUGUUUGGUGAUGGAUGUAAGAGGUCCCAGCCCACUGUGGGUGGCACAAUUCCCUAGGUCUGGGCUGUAUAGGAAGGCUAACUGAGCACGUGCCUGCAACCCAGCCAGUGAGUGACCAGUAAGCAGCUUUCUUCCGGCAUCCUGCUUAAGCUCUCGCCCUGACUUCCUUUUGUAACGGACUGUGACCUGGAAAUAUAAAUCAGUAAACCCUUUCCUUCCCAAGUUGCUUUGAUGACGAUGUUUGUUCCAGCAACGGAUAAGAAACUAGAUCACCACAGUCCUGGUCAUCUUUAACCAUUUUUAACGCUUGUCCCAGGGGAUUUG